rnacentral:rRNA from 1 species
UUUUUUGGAGAGUUUGAUCCUGGCUCAGGACGAACGCUGGCGGCGUGCCUAAUACAUGCAAGUCGAGCGGAGUCAAUGAGAAGCUUGCUUCUCUGAGACUUAGCGGCGGACGGGUGAGUAACACGUAGGUAACCUGCCCAUAAGACUGGGAUAACUACCGGAAACGGUAGCUAAUACCGGAUAGGUUCUUCUCUCGCAUGGGAGGGGAAAGAAAGACGGAGCAAUC